rnacentral:rRNA from 1 species
AGGACGAACGCUGGCGGCGUGCUUAACACAUGCAAGUCGAGCGGUAAGGCUCCUUCGGGAGUACACGAGCGGCGAACGGGUGAGUAACACGUGAGCAAUCUGCCCUUCACUUUGGGAUAACUUCCGGAAACGGAAGCUAAUACCGAAUACGACCAUUACAGACAUCUGUUGAUGGUGGAAAGUUCCGGCGGUGAAGGAUGAGCUCGCGGCCUAUCAGCUUGUUGGUGGGGUAAUGGCCCACCAAGGCGACGACGGGUAGCCGGCCUGAGAGGGUGACCGGCCACACUGGGACUGAGACACGGCCCAGACUCCUACGGGAGGCAGCAGUGGGGAAUAUUGGACAAUGGGCGAAAGCCUGAUCCAGCAACGCCGCGUGAGGGAUGACGGCCUUCGGGUUGUAAACCUCUUUCAGUAGGGACGAAUUAGACGGUACCUGCAGAAGAAGCACCGGCCAACUACGCGCCAGCAGCCGC